CGCGGCGCUGGGAGGACCACCAACAGGUAAUAUGUCUCUUGCAUUUAAGUAUAUGUAUUUUUUUCGCUACAGUACUUUGUGCGUGCUAAAGCGAAUAACCCUUUUGAAAAUGUUUAGGACGUCAGCAUCCUGAAAAUUCUCCAACACUGACGGAGUUUUUUCGUUUCAAAGAAAUAAAAAACAAAGAAAGAUCCGUUAAUUUUACCACUAAAAGAAAGUCUCAGAAGGAUGCAGUAAGUUGUGUACAGAUUAAUGUAGGAAUUAUGAGGGAGUGUGGAGGAAUGUUAAAAAAAGAAAGAGGCAGGACAUUACCACUUCGAAUUUCUUCAAGAAGUUCCAAAAAUGAACUUUUGCAUGCCGCUGAGACAAAACUCUGCACAUUCAACAAUGAUUUACCACCAGGCCCAUAUGUGCGUUUGUAUGCUGAUGGGAGUCUUGUUAAUAAAAUACCAGGAUCUGCAAAUAAUUUUAUACUGCAAGACUACAAAAAUGAAAUUGGCAAACAAUUUAACAGAAUAACAUUCUUCAUCUGCCCAGAGGCUGAAUACAAUAAAUUAGAAAAUGACAGUAGUGAUCCUGAAGAAGUGACUAUUCAUCCAAAACAUAAAAUAGAAGAGGACUUU